GCAUCGUAGUGGGCAAUUGCGCUUCGGUGAGGAAAGUCCGGACACGCACAGAAUUUUUCUGUAAAAGGGUAGCGGGUAACGCCCGUCGAGAGCAAUCUUAGGGAUGAGAGCAGUGACGCCAGAGCAGAGAUGCAAUGGAUCCCCUCGGGGAUAAUCACAUGGAGACAUGUGGGUGAAACGGCAAAAUUCCUACUUGCGUGCAAGGCCGUACUCUACUUUGUAGAGAGUGCCGCAGAGACUCUCAUGGCAACAUGAGAGCAAGGUAAAUAAUUGUCGAUAAGAGUGUAAACUUUUAUUACAGAAUCCGGCUUAUAGCUACGAUAUGAAA
rnacentral:RNase_P_RNA from 1 species